GAUGAACGCUAGCUACAGGCUUAACACAUGCAAGUCGAGGGGCAGCAUGGUCUUAGCUUGCUAAGGCCGAUGGCGACCGGCGCACGGGUGAGUAACACGUAUCCAACCUGCCGUCUACUCUUGGACAGCCUUCUGAAAGGAAGAUUAAUACAAGAUGGCAUCAUGAGUUCACAUGUUCACAUGAUUAAAGGUAUUCCGGUAGACGAUGGGGAUGCGUUCCAUUAGGUAGUAGGCGGGGUAACGGCCCACCUAGCCGACGAUGGAUAGGGGUUCUGAGAGGAAGGUCCCCCACAUUGGAACUGAGACACGGUCCAAACUCCUACGGGAGGCAGCAGUGAGGAAUAUUGGUCAAUGGGCGAGAGCCUGAACCAGCCAAGUAGCGUGAAGGAUGAAGGUCCUACGGAUUGUAAACUUCUUUAUACGGGAAUAAAGUAUCCUACGUGUAGGAUUUUGUAUGUACCGUAUGAAUAAGCAUCGGCUAACUCCGUGCCAGCA
rnacentral:rRNA from 1 species